ACGGGAGGCAGCAGUGAGGAAUAUUGGUCAAUGGGCGGAAGCCUGAACCAGCCAAGUCGCGUGGAGGAUGAAGGUAUUAUGUAUUGUAAACUUCUUUAGACGCAGAGAAAUAAGGGGCUCGUGAGUCCUGAUGCUAGUAUGCGUAGAAUAAGGAUCGGCUAACUCCGUGCCAGCAGCCGCGGUAAUACGGAAGGUCCGGGCGUUAUCCGGAUUUAUUGGGUUUAAAGGGAGCGCAGGCGGCCUUUUAAGCGUGUUGUGAAAUGUAGGGGCUCAACCUCUGCACUGCAGCGCGAACUGGAGGGCUUGAGUACGCGGGAAGUAGGCGGAAUUCGUCGUGUAGCGGUGAAAUGCUUAGAUAUGACGAAGAACUCCGAUUGCGAAGGUAGCCUACUGUAGCGUUACUGACGCUAAAGCUCGAAAGUGUGGGUAUCGAACAGGAUUAGAUACCCUGGUA
rnacentral:rRNA from 1 species